rnacentral:rRNA from 1 species
GGGCGACACGGGUGACCUGUGGUGGGAUCCAACCUACGCGCGAGUGGUUCCAACUAACGCACGCCGCUCGCGAGGAUCGAGAGGGAUCGCUAGAUGGGUGGGGGACACGGGCGAUGAUGGCGCCUUAUCUUGUGGAAACUGCUCCACUCGGCCUUAAUAAACACAAUCAUACUUCAGUUUUCAUUAAGCAGGCAUUCAUGCCGGGGCCAACGUCUCUUCUGUUGCACACUUCAGUUUCCAUCUGGUGCGUGUAUACAUGCUUCCUUUCCCAGCCAUUCUUCGUUCACCCUCUCUACUCCAGUAGCACAAAAUAUUCAGCAUCAUGCUCGGGUAGAUUUCCAUGUAUUCUACCUUAUGCCCAAGUGCCGUGGAGUUUGCUGCCCCAAGGCUGAAAACAUCAAGUUCACCUUGGAGCAGAAGUUGGUGUUUUUGGCUUGAGAAUUUUUUUUUGAUGAUAGACGAUAUAACUCCAAUCAAGACUGAACUUCAAAUUAUCUGCCUAAGAACAGAUGCAGCAGCAGUUGACAUAUAUCCGAAUUGUGAUAUUUAGUUCUCGGUAAUUGUACUAUGUUAUUGCUGCAAUUCUUAUAAGUAUAAUCCCAAACCUUCCAGUUCUAGUUAAUAAUACACCAAAGGAUUUAGUAUUAAGUACAUACUAUCAUUGUACUGUAACAAUGGAUGCGCG